UGCGGCCGUUUCAUUGCCAGCUGUGAGGAUGAAGCAGCUUCAUAGCGGGAGAUCAGACGCCUCCAAUCAGUUUCCCUUUUCAGCAAUAGAGGCCUUGGAUCCCUUUCCACCUGCGUUGCAUCCUGUGGCUGACCACUCCAAUGAUCUCGGCAGAAUCGUUACACAGGAAGAAGUCCGGCUGGCCCCAAGCCUGGUGUGAAAUGAAGAAAUGGCACUCCACAUCAAUUCAUGUUUACUUGUCGUCAUAGCCAGUCUGUUAGCUUAAUUUUUGGUUCUUGUUAUUGAAUUC